rnacentral:rRNA from 1 species
CCUACGGGUGACAGCAGUGAGGAAUAUUGGUCAAUGGGCGGGAGCCUGAACCAGCCAAGUCGCGUGAGGGAAGACGGUCCUAUGGAUUGUAAACCUCGUUAGGCGGGGAGAAAGGCCGGGCAAGUGUGCCCGGAGGGAGAGGACCCGCAGAAUAAGCAGCGGCUAACUCCGUGGCAGCAGCCGCGGUAAUAAGGAGGAUGCGAGCGUUAUCAGGAUUGAGUGGGGUUAAAGGGUGCGUAGGCGGAUUUUUAAGUCAGCGGUAAAAUGUCCGGGCUCAACCCGGGCCCGCCGUUGACACUGGGGAUCUUUAGUGGGCUAGAAGUAUGCGGAAUGCGUGGUGUAGCGGUGAAAUGCAUAGCUUUCACGCAGAACUCCGAUUGCGAAGGCAGCAUACCGGCGCCCUCCUGACGCUGAGGCACGAAAGCGUGGGGAUCGAACAGGAUUAGCUACCCGGGUAGUC